CUUGAGGCCGAGAGGACUUCGACCCUAGGCCCUCGCCGUCUGCCUCCUUUUCAUCUUUUUUUGCUCGUGCUGCUCGUUAUCUACAUGGGUCGUCGACGAAGAAGUCAGGGAGGAGCGGAUGCUAUCUAGGGAGGUGGCUCGGACCAGAUCGACCAUGGCGAUGGCAUCGUUGACUCCCUGCUGGCCUUGCAGUUUUGCAAUUUAGGUAUCAAAGGAAUUAGGUAUUAUCAGCAUGAAUACUAUUUACACAGUCUGUUCUUUUAUUUAGAUUGACCGUCUUUGAAGUAAUUGACAUGUAGACUGCUGCAAAAUGAAUCAGUAAUGUUUAAAUUAACUUUAAAAACUUGCCAGGUUGGAUAUAUCUUUGUCAGAUAUUUAUAUCAUUGUUUUUCUUCUGUUCAUUUGUUGGGUAGGGCCGAGACCAGUGGGUUCAUUGCUAGGGGCUAUUGUAUUUGUCUUGCUACCGACUGUAGAUGUGAUCACUGAUUCUCAUUGACUGUAGUUGUAGUUUCAGAAGUAGGAUGGCUAGCAGUCAUCAUAUAUUGGUUAAGUUGCAUUUGUUUUGGGUACAACAAGAUGAUGAUCAAGAGAAUCCCGAUGAAAAGCAUCAUGCUGAUUCUGAUGUGGAAAUAGAUGAUGCCAAGCCUUUGGAGGAAUCUGAAAGGAGAAGCAAUACUCAAGAGUGCGAGAGUUGACAGAGAAUGUGCGAGAGUUAAGCAGUAUUGUAGUAGAUCACAUUUCAGGGAUACCAUUGAUUUAUUUUGCUCUUCUUACUUUUAUUAGAUAGGCCACAUUCUUUUUCUUUUACUCAUGCCUUUGUUGCUGACGGUGCUGUUGUGUAAAUUCAACAUUGAUGUUUAGUGUUAUGACAUGGUUUACACAAGCUGAAAUUUUGAUCCCUUGGAUGUUGCAGGUGCUGACAAUCUAAUUCCGAUGGAACUGGCCCUUAAAAUUACAACCAAGAUUACAGUUGGUAUGAGUUACUUGCUGAGAGUCAGAAAUUACAACCAAGAUUUUGUAACACGACUUUUAAACCAAGAGAUUUUUCAUCUUAGAUGCUACCGACAUGAGCUGGUAAUGUCGUGCUACCAUGGAGAAAACAUAGCUAGGGCGCUCCCCGGCCUGGAGCUCUGCUACUCCAUGACGCGGAGGUUCCUCGACAAGCAGACGGCGGUGGUCGGGCAGGUGUAGCCCGCGGCAGCGCUGCCCAUCCUGGACUGGAAGAUCUCCGUUCCUGGUAAUACUUGUUUCCUGUACACCUGCUUUUUUAUUUUGGUAAGGUUUCAUUUUUCGGGUGGUGCCAACGGUGGAACUUUGUUCUUGUUAUUUGGUGUGCGGGCUCUCUGAUUUUGAGAUGACUAGAGGUAAACUUCAGUUCAGAGUAUUAGAUUGUUUGGUUUAAUUAAGUCAGUGGGUGAGGGGUUUCAUGUUUAGAUUUCAGUGUAGUAUAGUAGUAUCCUGAAUUCUUAUGCUGUAAUGUGAAUUCUAAAGAUAUAAGAAAUCCAUGCAGAAUAUUUUGCUGUUUGCACCAAACAAUAUGCAUCCAAGUUACUUCAAUAAUGGGGAAUUA